rnacentral:rRNA from 1 species
AUUGAACGCUGGCGGCAGGCCUAACACAUGCAAGUCGAACGAGUGGCGGACGGGUGAGUAAUGUCUGGGAAACUGCCUGAUGGAGGGGGAUAACCACUGGAAACGGUAGCUAAUACCGCAUACCAUCAGAUGUGCCCAGAUGGGAUUAGCUUGUUGGUGGGGUAAAGGCUCACCAAGGCGACGAUCCCCAGCUGGUCCGAGUGGAUGACCUGCCACACUGGAACUGAGACACGGUCCAGACUCGUACGGGAGGCAGCAGUGGGGAAUAUGGCACAAUGGGCGCAAGCCUGAUGCAGCCAUGCCGCGUGUAUGAAGAAGGCCUUCGGUUUGUAAAGUACGUUCAUCGGGGAGGCAUUACCCGCAGAAGAAGCACCGGCUAACUCCGUGCCAGCAGCCGCGGUAAUAC